rfam:Camelus ferus unplaced genomic scaffold scaffold750, whole genome shotgun sequence.
GAAUGUAUAGCUCAAGCGCUAGAGCACAUGCCUAGCAUGCACAACGUCCUGGGUUGAAUCCCCAGUACCUCCA